GAUGAAGAACGUAGCAAAAUGCGAUACUUGGUGUGAAUUGCAGAAUCCCGUGAACCAUCGAGUUUUUGAACGCAAGUUGCGCCCGAAGCCUUUUGGCCGAGGGCACGUCUGCCUGGGCGUCACGCAUCGUGUCGCCCCCCACAAAUUCUCUGUCAGGGGAGCUUGUGUUUCGGGGGCGGAUACUGGUCUCCCGUGCUCAUGGCGCGGUUGGCCGAAAUAGGAGUCCCUUCGAUGGACGCACGAACUAGUGGUGGUCGUAAAAACCCUCGUCUUUUGUUUCGUGCCGUUAGUCGCGAGGGAAGCUCUUCAAAAACCCCAACGCGUCGUCUCUUGACGGCGCUUCGACCGCGACCCCAGGUCAGGCGGGACUACCCGCUGAGUUUAAGCAUAUCAAUAAGCGGAGGA
rnacentral:misc_RNA from 1 species